rnacentral:ncRNA from 1 species
CUAAAGGUUUGGUCCUAGCCUUCCUAUUAGUUGUUAGCAAAAUUACACAUGCAAGUAUCCGCAUACCUGUGAGAAUACCCUCUAAAUCAUAAUUAUGAUUAAAAGGAGUAGGCAUCAAGCACACUCUUUAUAGAGUAGCUAAUAACGCCUUGCUUUGCCACACCCCCACGGGAAACAGCAGUGAUAAAAAUUAAGCAAUGAACGAAAGUUUGACUAAGUUAUGCUAACUUCAGGGUUGGUAAAUUUCGUGCCAGCCACCGCGGUCAUACGAUUAACCCAAACUAAUAAGUAACGGCGUAAAGCGUGUUAAAGACAAUGACAACUAAUAAAGAUAAAACUUAACUAGGCUGUAGAAAGCAACAGUUAAGGUUAAAAUACACUACGAAAGUGACUUUAUUAAAUCUGACACACGAUAGCUAAGACCCAAACUGGGAUUAGAUACCCCACUAUGCUUAGCCCUAAACCUAAAUAACUUAAAAACAAAGUUAUUCGCCAGAGAACUACUAGCAAUAGCUUAAAACUCAAAGGACUUGGCGGUGCUUUAUAUCCUUCUAGAGGAGCCUGUUCUAUAAUCGAUAAACCCCGAUAAACCUCACCACCCCUUGCUAAUACAGCCUAUAUACCGCCAUCUUCAGCAAACCCUAAAAAGGAGUAGUAGUAAGCACAAGUAUAGAUCAUAAAAACGUUAGGUCAAGGUGUAGCUUAUGAGGUGGGAAGAAAUGGGCUACAUUUUCUAUAACUAGAAUAUUAUUUAACCAAACGAAAAUUCUUAUGAAAUUAAGAAUUAAAGGAGGAUUUAGCAGUAAGUUAAGAAUAGAGUGCUUAACUGAAUUAGGCCAUGAAGCACGCACACACCGCCCGUCACCCUCCUCAAGUAUCUAAACCAAAUGAAUUUCUAAUCAAUACAUCACCCGAUAUUAGAGGAGAUAAGUCGUAACAAGGUAAGCAUACUGGAAAGUGUGCUUGGAUGAAU